rnacentral:rRNA from 1 species
UACGUAGGGUGCAAGCGUUGUCCGGAAUUAUUGGGCGUAAAGAGCUCGUAGGCGGUCUGUCGCGUCUGCUGUGAAAACUCAGGGCUUAACCCUGAGCUUGCAGUGGGUACGGGCAGACUAGAGUGCGGCAGAGGAGACUGGAAUUCCUGGUGUAGCAGUGAAAUGCGUAGAUAUCAGGAGGAAUACCGAUGGCGAAGGCAGGUCUCUGGGCUGACACUGACGCUCAUGCACGAAAGCGUGGGGAGCAAACAGG